AUGUUGGAAUUUGUAUCACUGUGGUGGACUUUUGGUGGAGGAACCAGACUAGAGUUUGGAAGUGAUGUGCGUCCCACCCUGACGGUGCUGCCCCCCUCCAGUGAGGAGCUGCAGCAGGGGAAGGCCACGCUCGUGUGUCUGGCCAACAAGGGCUUCCCCUCAGACUGGAGUCUGGCCUGGAAGGUGGACGGCAGCAGCAGCAGCAGCAGCUGGGAGGAGAGCAGGAGCCCUGGGGUGCUGGAGAAGGACGGCCUCUACAGCUGGAGCAGCAACCUGAGGCUCCCUGCAGACCAGUGGAGGAGGUUGGGCUCUGUGACCUGUGAGGCCACCCAGGGCUCCCAGACUCCACUCUCAGAGACACUGAGGAGAGACCAGUGUUCCCAGUCCUGACCUGACUCACUGGGACUCUGCUGCUGGUUUUACUCUGCUACUGCUCUCAGUCUGCUCUCUGUCUUUCUAUCAUGUGACCAAUUUAACAGUUCUCACCUUGAAACAGCAAUGUUUUUAUUCUUGUCAUAGUGCUUAUGCUGUUAAUGCUGUAUAAUAAAACAUAAGCAAAUAAAAAACAUUGUCUGAAUACUUUUAUUGCAACAGUUCCCUUCUCCCACAUGUUAAGAGAUACAAGAUUAUAACCCAUGUCACAGUUAGAUUGUCUCACUGCUGGUGAUGGUUUCAUUAAUGACUUCUUGAAUCAUAUAAUGGCACUUACCCACUAAGUCAUUGAGGUUCAUCUGACAAUGUCUCUAGCAGUAUAAUUAUGGAUCAGGGUAAUUUUGAUGAAAUUAUUUUAAAAUGUGUCAAAUCUAAAUGACUUAAUAGAGUUUUAAAGAUUAGGAACAAAUUGCAGAUUAUCAUCAGCAUAAGAUGAUAUAACAUGGUUCUUCAAUGAUGUUCUUACGUCAAAUAUUUAAUGCUGUUGUUGCUGAUUUUUUUUUUUUAAAACAUUAACCAUUCCAUGUAAAGUCACCCAGGUAUAUCUUCACCCUGAGGUGAAUGAGGAUUCCUGUUUCAUGAACAUUCAUUUGCAUCAAGACAAUAUAGUCAGUCCUUUAAAUACAUCUACAAAGAUUUUAAACUAAAAAGAUAUCGAGAUCUGAAAUAAAAACCCCAUCAAUGAGAAAAAUAAAGAGUAUAUAAAAAUAACAUUUUUCACAUUUUUCAAAGUCUACACGUGGGUGCAUUGAAUCGACAUAAAACACUCAAUCUUAAAUAAAAUGAAACUGAUGGAACUGCUAAUGUCUUAUUUUUACUACAUUCUGUUUUCAUGUGUCAUUGGAAAAAGUCUUAGUUUGUUGGAAACCUCUCAGUGUGUUUCACUUAAAUAUAACUUUAAAAAUUUUAACCUAAAAAGUUGAAUUAAAAUUGGUAUUGUUGUGUUUUUAUUUAACUUAGAGAGAAUUAUAAUUAAUUUUAAUAAAUGCAUUUAUUAUUUGUGUUAAUAUUACACAAUCUAUAUUUCUUACUGUCUUACUUUUUUGAGUAUGUAUCUCAUUUACACAACAACAGUCAUUAGAACUAUUAAUAUAUAACUGGUGUUUCAGUGUCUGUGCAGCUGUUGAGUCAGAUCAGUUCCUCUCCAAGUGAAGAGGAUUUUGUACAACGUUGUAUCACUGUGGGAACGGCCAGCUGUAACCUCCCUGCUGACAGUAAUAAACUCCUGCAUCUUCAGUCUGAACUCCACUGAUGGUCAGAGUGAAGUCAGUCCCAGAUCCACUUCCACUAAAACGAUCUGAAACACCAGACUGACGAGUUGUAGCAUAAUAAAUUAGAAGUUUCGGAGACUCUCCAGGUUUCUGAAGGCACCAGUGAAGGUAGGUGCUCAUAUCUGAACUGGCUUUACAUCUGAUAGAGACAGUCUGUCCUGGAACAACAGACUGAGAUCCAGGAGACUGAGUCAGGAUGAUUUCUCCUGA